GCAGCCUGUUAGUCGCCUGCUCCUUGUCCGGCCGCGCCAAGCCGCGUGUUCCUCGCUGCCGAGUCUAAUUUUCCAGCUUUAGAAAAAUGAGGCUGCUAGAGACCUGGCGGCUGGUCUACUUUGGAAUCGAUUCUGAGAAGAUGAUAAAAACAUGACCACGGGCAUUGUAGCAUUAUUUGCAGUAGCAAAGACUGAAAACAACCCAAACAUCCACCAACUGGGAAAUGGAUGAAUGAGUUGUACUGUAGCCCUACAAUGGCAGCCUUAUGAAUCUGUGAAAAAGAAAAAAUCUUCCUCCGUGCCAUGAGAGAUCUUCAGAAUAAUUGGAAUAGGAGUUAAUGAAUGAAGAAGGAGAUAGUCGAAGGGGAUCUCCAUUUUUACAAUGCUUAAUGCAUUAAAGAAUUGCAGCAAGGAUUAAUCACCAGCUGGUAAUAUCACACACAAAAAAGAGAUGACCAGACAUUACGUGCCUCUGGAGAGAAGGACACCACACCACCUGUAAGGGCAAAAGGGAUUUUGCACAUGUGACUGAAUUAAGGAUUUUGAGAUGGGAGAUGAUCCUGCACUAUCUGGGUGGGCCCAGUUUAGUCCUAAACAUCUUCAUAAGAAAGAGGAAAAGAGAUGUUUGACUACAGAAGAAGGUGAUGCGACAACAGAAUCAAGUGGUAAAAGACAAUAUGAUGCAGGAGGGGCCACAAGCCAAAGCACAGGGGAAGCUUCCAGAAGCUGGAAAA